UACCCGCAGCACAAGUGGUGGUCAUUAUUAUUGGGCCUAAAGCGUCCGUAGCUGGCUUGUUAGAUGCCUGGGUAAAUCGAUGCGCUCAACGCAUCGAACUCCGGGUAGACCGGCAAGCUUGGGACCGGGAGAGGCGUGAGCUACUCGAGGGGUGGGGGUAAAAUCCUGUAAUCCUUCGGGGAGGACCAGUGGCGAAGGCGUCACGCUAGAACGGCUCCGACAGUGAGGGACGAAGCCCUGGGGCGCAAACCGG
rnacentral:rRNA from 1 species